AAUCGUGGAGCGCAGGGUCUGACGAGGCCCCUCCGCAGGGCGAGUGUAGGGAGGAGCUGCGGGAGGGUGGGGGGCGCUGAAGGGCACCUGGGUGCUGGGGCACAUGGUCACCACAUGUGGGCCCACGGCAGCCAGUCUGUGAAAAGUCAGGGCACAGCCAUUAGGGCUUCUGCACAUUUCUCUACCUCACACCGCGAUGAACGAAAGCAGCAGUUACAAACCAUGGCCUGUCUGUGCCGCGGGGAGCAGUCCUCCGCCUCUCAGCCAGGCCGGGCGGGGCCGCGGAGGCCCCGGCCCACGGGCCUAGGCAGGCCGCGGGCAGCAGAUGGCGCCCGUGGGGCCGCUGCGCGGGGGCCUGCAGCCGGCGCAGAGCUGGGGACGCGGCGGCUGCCCCCCCGCCCGCGCACGCCAGGCGCCUUCCCACGGACCCCGCGACACGGCCUGCGUCCUGCUCGCUCGCCAGGCACGGCUGCAGCCGCUCCUGCCCCCUGGGUCCGCUCAGCCGACGGCGGGACGCGUGCGGGGCCGCGCGGGGCCGUCUAACUGGGGCUCCGCUCUCGGCCCGGCCACUCCCGGUAGAAACAGGGGACUGACUCGAGGGGAUGGCGGAAGCAGACGUCCGUGCUCGGCUGGCCCUUGCAGCGCAGGUGUAACGGAAGCCGCCGCUGUUCUUCACGGCCACAUCCAAGGUUCUUCUCUGCACGUCUGGCAGUGAGACGCUGAAAUCAAAGCUGAAGUGGAAAAAGAGGAUCAUCCUACACUUCUCCAUAAUUUUGCUGUUUUAUUGUAACUAAAAAAUGACAUUUCUGUUUAUGAGUCCACUCCAAACAUGAUCUUUGUUUCUUUGUUGUAGAA